rnacentral:lncRNA from 1 species
AUUAACCUCUAGCCAAAAUAAAUUUAGUUACACAUUAUUAAAACAGAAAUAAAAUAUAAGUUUGGAAAGAUUUAACCGAGAGAGAGGGCAGAUUGCUGCUUUCUUCACUGGCGUCCUCCCUGUCUUCUCUUGAUCUCUCCGCAUGUCCUCACUUCCCCCUGCUGUCCUCACCUUUCUCUGCUGUCCUCACCUUCGGUUUCUGCUUUCCUCGCUGCCCAAGGCAGCCAAGCCUUUUAUUCCUCCUGCGCAGGUUCACGCUGCAAGAGCAGCCUGAUGCGAAAUAUAUAAGCACACAAAUUUAACCCUCUUUUUGACAAUUGUAGUAUAGAUGUAAGUAGGGUAUCGUUCUAGGCCGGGGAUUAGGAGGGAUUGCUAAUCUAUUCUAAAUUAAUUUAAAAAUAUUAAAUAAGACUCAAGGACACAAAACUAGGCUAAAAACUCUAAUAACUCGAAACACACGUAGAAUGACCCAAAAUAAUGGAAACAAUCAAAUUAGACACUAGGAACUGAAAUGGACGGAAAUUGAAUUAAAAGACUAACAACAAUGAAAGCUAACUAAAUAAUAUAAUUUAAUAAUGGGGGGUGUUUGGUUUUGACGAGAAGUAAAUUAAACUUAAAUAAAUUACAGAAUUGACAAAAAUAUGAAAUUAAGGUGAAAGGAUAGAUGACGGACUAGCUAGAGGGUUCUUCUCCACACAUGACACAUAUGCAACCUAAAUUGAUUUUUCAGUUGUUCUUUCAAUAAAUUGUAAAUCUCAACGCCCCAAAUUAACCGUGAAUUGCACUAAUUAACCCUCAGUUUUUCCACAAGUUAUUGGGUUGGAUGAUUGCAUACGACAACCCAAAACAUUCCCUACAAGUUCCCUACAUGAAUUGCAUAAUAGAGAUACAAGCAAGAAUCAUUAAGUUCUAUGAAAAACAUAAGCAUUGACGAGGCACUCGUUACUAUGAUUUGCAUGAAACUUAUGCCAAGAAUUUACUUAACGUGAUUGUGACUAGCAACCUUCACUACUUGUGAAUAUAAGUUCAUAACGAUUAGGUGAAAUUCACUUAUAUUCUAGCAUCAAAUUCAUGCAUGUAAAUUAAGUAUGCAUCCUUAAUCGACAUACAAAAAUAAGUUAUAAAUCAAGCAGUUAAGCAAAUUAAAUCACAACUGAAGGUAAUCAAUUCAUAUUACAAAUAUAUUCAUGGCUUUGAAUUAACCUCUAGCCAAAAUAAAUUUAGUUACACAUUAUUAAAACAGAAAUAAAAUAUAAGUUUGGAAAGAUUUAACCGAGAAAAGAAGGCAGCUUGCUGCUUCUGUCUGUGCCCUUCUCGUGCUGCAAGGCAGCUUCCUGUCAGUUCUCUCCUCUUCCUUCCGUGCUGCCCUCUGCCCUCACUUCUCUCCCUUUUAUUUUCUUAUUCUGUUUUUUUCUUUUUUUUUCUGCGCAGUCCUCUCUCUGCACUCUUCCCUGCGCCUCUGACUUCUAUUUUCUUCUUAUUUUCUUCUACACAGUUUUCUGUGCUGCACCACUGGCUUCUGACCUCUCCCUUCUGUCCGUGCUAUCUGCUGCCGCAAGGCAGCUGUCUGCCUUUUGGUUCUCCCCUGCUCAAGCUGCCAAAUGGCAGCUUUCCUCUUGCCUUUCUCUCCUGCCCCGCGUCACUUCUCUCUGUCUGACCUUCUCUCCCCCCUGCUGUCCUCACCUUUCUCUGCUGUCCUCACCUUCGGUUUCUGCUUUCCUCGCUGCCCAAGGCAGCCAAGCCUUUUAUUCCUCCUGCCCAGGUUCAC